rnacentral:rRNA from 1 species
GAUCCUGACUCAGGAUGAACGCUAGCGGCAGGCUUAACACAUGCAAGUCGAGGGGCAGCGCGGAGUAGCAAUACUCUGGCGGCGACCGGCGGAAGGGUGCGUAACACGUGAGCGACUUGCCCGUCACAGGGAGAUAACCGCUGGAAACGGCGACUAAUAUCCCAUAUGAUGGCGAUCUGCACGGAUUGUCAUUGAAAGAUUCAUCGGUGACGGAUAGGCUCGCGGGG